GCGGGGUUGCCCUAGCCUGGUAGGGGGCAGGCCUGCUAAGCCUGUGGUCCAUCGGGCCGCGCGGGUUCAAAUCCCGCACCCCGCGCCA
rnacentral:tRNA from 1 species